rnacentral:rRNA from 1 species
AGGGCGCACGGUGGAUGCCUUGGUGCCCAGGGCCGAAGAAGGGCGCGGCAAGACUGCGAAAAGCCUCGGUGAGCUGUCGAGCAAGCCCAGCCGGGGAUUCCCGAAUGGGGCAACCCAACACGGGUAAUACCGUGUUACCCCUUGCCGAACACAUAGGCAAGGCGGAGGCAAGCGGGGGAACUGAAACAUCUUAGUACCCCGAGGAAAAGAAAUCAACCGAGAUUCCCUGAGUAGUGGCGAACGAAACGGGAACAGCCCAAACCUUGGUCGCUCAGUGGCCUCGAGGCCUAUGCGGCCAGGGGGUUGUAAGGCCCAGCGGGGGAGGCUCGAGACUCCCCAAGGAGUUACAAACCGUACCCUAGCCAAAGGUCCAUGGAAGGGGCCACCAUAGAGGGUGACAGUCCCGUAGGCGAAAGGGGAAGGCUCCUGCUGGUGACCUUGAGUACCACGGGACACGGGAAAUCCUGUGGGAAGCAGGGGGGACCAUCCUCCAAGGCUAAAUACCCUGGGCAACCGAUAGUGAACUAGUACCGUGAGGGAAAGGUGAAAAGCACCCCGGGAGGGGAGUGAAAUAGACCUGAAACCGUGUGCCUACAAGCAGUCAGAGCCCUGAGCCAGCUCAGGGUGAUGGCGUGCCUAUUGAAGAAUGAGCCGGCGAGUUAAUCUCUGUCGCCAGGUUAAGCAUCUGGAGAUGCGGAGCCAUAGCGAAAGCGAGUCCGAAUAGGGCGAUCUCGCCCGGUCGGCCUCCUCGAGGGGGCAGCGCCAGGGCGAAAGGUGGCAGGGAUUAGACCCGAAACCGAGUGAGCUACCCAUGGCCAGGGUGAAGCGGGACUAACCUCCCGUGGAGGCCCGAACCUUUCAGUGAGGCAAAACUGUGGGAUGAGCUGUGGGUAGAGGUGAUAUGCCAACCGAACUCGGAGAUAGCUGGUUCUCCCCGAAAUGCAUUUAGGUGCAGCCUCAGCUUUGUGGGGUGCAGGUAGGGCCCUGGAUGGGCUAGGGGGCAAGACGCUUACCAAACCCAACCAAACCGCGAAUGGCACCCCUCACAGGCUGGGAGUGAGACAGUGGGGGAUAAGCUCCAUUGUCGAGAGGGGAACAGCCCAGACCAUCAGCUAAGGUCCCCAAGAGCGGGCUAAGUGGUAAAGGAGGUAGAGCCGCGCAGACAGCCAGGAGGUUGGCUUAGAAGCAGCCAUCCUUUAAAGAGUGCGUAAUAGCUCACUGGUCAAGUGACUCUGCGCCGACAAUGUAACGGGGCUUAAGCCCGCCACCGAAGCUAUGGGAUACCCUAAAAGGGCAUCGGUAGGGGAGCGUUCCCCAGGCGGUGAAGGUCGGUCGCAAGGCCGGCUGGAGCCGGGGGAAGUGAGAAUGCCGGCAUGAGUAGCGUAAAGGCAUGUGAGAACCAUGCCCACCGUAAGCCUAAGGUUUCCUAUGCAACGUCAAUCGGCGUAGGGUUAGUCGGGCCUAAGCCGAGGCCGUCAGGCGUAGGCGAUGGACAACGGGUUAAUAUUCCCCGUACUGCCCCAGGUCGUUAUGAGCGAUGGGGUGACGCAGGAAGGUAGGCCGGUCGUGCCCACUGGACAUGGUGCGUCCCCUCGUGUAGGCGGGCAGGGAUAGGCAAAUCCGUCCCUGCGUUAAGCUGAGGCGAGGGGGGAGCGGCGGGGCAACCCAAAGCGACCCGGCCCAGCCUAUACUGCCCAGAAAAACCUCUAGCCAGACCGAGGGCAUCCGUACCGCAAACCGACACCGGUAGGCGGGGGUAAGUACCCCAAGGUGUUCGAGUGAUCCCUCGUUAAGGAACUCGGCAAGUUGACCCCGUAACCUCGGGAGAAGGGGUGCCCUGGGGGUGAAGGAACUCGCUUCCGGAGCCCCAUCAGGGCCGCAGAGAGUAGGCCCAAGCGACUGUUUAACAAAAACACAGGUCUCUGCUAAGGCGUAAGCCGAAGUAUAGGGGCUGACACCUGCCCAGUGCCGGAAGGUUAAGGGGAGGGGUUAGGCUAAAGCCAAAGCCCUGAACCGAAGCCCCGGUGAACGGCGGCCGUAACUAUAACGGUCCUAAGGUAGCGAAGUCCCUUGUCGGGUAAGUUCCGACCCGCACGAAUGGUGUAACGACUUGGGCGCUGUCUCAACGAGGGGCUCGGUGAAAUUGAACUGCCCGUGCAGAUGCGGGCUACCCGCGACAGGACAAAAAGACCCCGUGGAGCUUUACUGCAGCUUGGCACUGGAUCGAGGCUGGGGAUGCGUAGCAUAGGUGGGAGGCGGAGAAGCCGGGCUCGAGGGCCCGGUGGAGCCAACGGUGAAAUACCACUCUUCUCCGGUUUUGGUUCUAACCCCUGAGCAAGCAGGGGGACCGUGCCCGGCGGGCAGUUUGACUGGGGCGGUUGCCUCCUAAAGGGUAACGGAGGCGCCCAAAGGUCCCCUCAGCACGGAUGGAAAUCGUGCCUUGAGCGCAUUGGUAUAAGGGGGCUUGACUGCGAGACCCACAAGUCGAGCAGGGACGAAAGUCGGGCAAAGUGAUCCUACGGUACCGCAUGGAAGGGCCGUGGCUUAUCGGAUAAAAGCUACCCCGGGGAUAACAGGCUGAUCUUGCCCAAGAGUUCACAUCGACGGCAAGGUUUGGCACCUCGAUGUCGGCUCGUCGCAUCCUGGGGCUGAAUAAGGUCCCAAGGGUCGGGCUGUUCGCCCGUUAAAGCGGCACGCGAGCUGGGUUCAGACCGUCGUGAGACAGGUCGGUCUCUAUCCGUCGUGGGCGUAGCAGAGUUGAGGGGGGCUCUCUCUAGUACGAGAGGACCGAGAGGGACAGACCUCUGGUGUUCCAGUUGUCGUGCCAACGGCAACGCUGGGUAGCUAUGUCUGGAAGGGAUAAGCGCUGAAAGCAUCUAAGCGCGAAGCCCACCUCAAGAUGAGCUCUGCCACCGGGUUAACCGGGUAAGGCCGGAGGCAGACUACCUCCUAGAUAGGCGGCAGGUGUAAGCCGGGCAACCGGUUCAGCUGAGCCGUACUAAUGGCCGAGGGCUCGACCU